CAGCAUUAAAAACCACGACUGGCACAUCCAAGCCAGUUGCGCCCUUACUGGUGAUGGCCUCUAUGAUGGUUUGGAGUGGAUCGCACAGAGAGUUACUGGCAAAGCGCAAAGCUAGAGGCGUUCAAAGGUUUCGAAUUUUCCACCCCAUUCCCAUCCUUUUUCCUCAUCCCUUCUUCUCUCUCUUCUCUUUUUCUUUUUGGGAUGAAGGGAAGGGGACCCGGGACCAGGCUAGUGCCUAGGUCCCAAACCAGUAAAGAAACACAAAAGCAUCUUCCUUCUCUAUUUUGUUUUCUCUUAACCCCCAGAUUUCCUCCAUCACUCUCUCUCUCUCUCCCACCCUCUUUUCUCUCUCGCUCUCUCUCCCUCCUUCUCCGAUCCUCUCAUCACGCCAAGCCACACCACCACGGCCUCUCUCUUUCCCUCGGUGUAGCAAGCAACGGCGGCGACCUCAACUCCAGCGACGUCGAUCAGCUAGCGACGUGAGCAGGUCGGUGACGACCAACGGCAGGACAAGCUUCAGCGAUCGCUAGUUUCUUCCGGCGAGGCAGCGACGGCGACCUCCAGUUCCUCUCUGCGAGCUGACCGUCGACGCUUCUCACCACCGGCAGUGAUCGGUGAAGCUUGAUGGCGAUGAUGAUGGUUUUCCGGCGGUCGGUUUUUCCUCAGGAUCAGCAGCGGCGAAGAAGUUGAUGAGAUGAUGAGGCUGUCCCGAAAACAAUUCUGGAAUUACCCAGUCCACCCAUAGGAGAGCCUCGCCGCUUGAAAUUUUUAUAGCUUAAAGAAAGCUGGGAGCUACUUGAGAAGAAGGUUUUUCGUGAGGAGAGAUGCCCCGAUGACUUGAAAGAGUAUGGCGAAGAGAUAGCAAAAAAAUGUGAUGGACUACCACUAGCGGUGGUGAUAAUUGCUGGUAUUCUGUUAGGCAAAUCAGAAACUCGGUUAGAAUGGCGCAAUGUGAUUAUCAGUUUUAGUGAUUUCCUUAGAAUGAAUAUAGAGAGCUACCAGAGGUUAAUACAAUUAAGUUAUGAUCAUUUGCCUGACAAAACUGAUGCAGCUAUGGAUUGCGGAGGGGUUUAUUGAGGAAAAAGGAGUGUUAACUAUAGAAGUCAUAGCAGGUGAAAAAUUGUGUAGUUUAGUCAGUAGGAAUCUUGUUAUGGCUACACAAAGAAAGACGGAUGGUCAAAUCAAAACAUGUCGUGUUCGCUACAUGUUGCUCCAGUUUUGUAAGAAGGAAGCCAAGGCUGAAGAUUUACUCUACAAUUGAGAUGACUUUACAAUUCUAUUCGAGGCAAAACAUAACAAUGACCGGAGGACAUAUUCUGGAUUUUGCUUUGAAGAGAUGAACACUUUAAAAGAACAGUGAACACUCAGACGUCGACAAGAAUCUUGAUGUUGGUUUCAUUGAUUUCAUUGAAUAAAUCUUCAGCCUUGGCUUCCUUCUUGCAAAACUGGAGCAACAUGUCGCUAACACGACAUGUUUUGAUUUGACCAUCUGUCUUUCUUUAUGUAGCUAUAAUAAUUCCUACUGACUACACUACAGAAUUCUUCCCUGCGAUUCCGCCUAUUCUCUCGCUCAUCUCAAAUCUCAUAUCGCCGGUGCGACUCACAGCUCACGACCUCAACCCUCACUCUCCUCAGUGACUCACGGCCUCAUGUAGACGCGCCGCAAACUUCAGUCGAGCUGCUACUACAUGCCUCCGCAGAUGCAGUCGUAGCUCCGUCGACUGCCGUUAGUUGUGAAACAACAGCUCAUCAGGUUCAAUUGAUUUAAUUUGAUAAAUCCCUAAGUACGAAAGUUUGCCAAAUUAAUUUAUGAAGUGUAUGUGUAUGUGCUUUUUGCUCAAUGGUAGUCUUGACCAGUAGUCUUGGUCAGUGCCAACUUCCCCCCAUUUUCAUAUUUGUUUUUAAUUUUUUGAAUUUUUCGGCUGAGAUAUUGGUAUACAUAAUUACAUUACUGAGAUUAAUAUGGUUUUUGUAACUGUUUGUUGUCCUAAUCUUGGGGUUUUAGUGUUUAUUGCUGUCUUUCUUUGAUUUUCUCAAUUCUUCUUUGUGUUACAAAUCCCUAUGGUUAUAACUAACUAUAUGGAUGAGGAUGAUGUAAAUAUCUUUUCAAUUAUGAGAUAUAAGUGGGGUUCGGGGUGUUGUCUCUGAAUUUCCCUAUCUUCUCUUUUAAAUUUUUUGGAGGCAAUAUGCAAUUUAUUAGCUCUGAGUUUGUGUGCUUAUUUUUUGGCUUUCCUGUUAAGUUUAAAUUUGCAAGUAAUUAGGCAGUGCUGAGCUGGGUUUCCCUAUUUCAAAGCUACGGUGUCUUUGUUUUCAGUGGUAUGUGUUAAACUUAUUUAAAAACUUAUGAUUUAUAUGUGAUGGAAUUGAAGUAAGAGGUUCAACACUUAUGUUGUAUAUCAGCCUUGCAAGGUUUAAAUUUGACCUGUUCUUUAUGUAAUGCUAUGACUUUCUGGCUCAAAAGUAAAUUGUUCUUCCCUAUUUGGUAUCUGGCAAUCUAAUUAACCCUUUUUUGUUACAGACACUAGUAUAGUUGCAUGUAAGCUGGGAGACAAUUAUGUGUGAGGUACAAAUUUCAAAAUCAAUUUCCAGUAAAUUAUGAAAUUGAAGGGAUGAGUCAAGGGUGAUCACAGUAUCAAACAUCUACAUCCAUAUGCAUCCUGGGGUCCCUCAAACCACCGGUCCCAAGAAGGAUUUAUUGAACCUUUCGUUCUAGUACAAAUAAAGAAUAUACUUCUAUACACGAUAUGACAUUACAAUACAAUAAACUAACAAGCAUUUCACACGGAAGGAUAUUAGUCUUACUGGGGGAGUAGUGGAUCUGGUCUUGUUUCCACCAUUUUUAACAUUCUGAAUUCCAUGUAAAGCAUUUCACACGGAAGGUUUUGAACAAGAGAGCCUGACCAUACCUGAUUUAGCCACUUGCCAACUACACAAGUGCAUGAUGCCAAUAUAAAUUUGUAUAAUAUUUUAGAUGAAUAAAACUUCAUGUUCUUUUUACA